GGGUUCACAGCCUACCGGCCGAGCGGACAGAUGUCCCAGGUCGACGUUGCGACGCGCCGUGACGCUGCACGGCGUCGUUGGUGGCGUGUACGACGGCCACGCACGCUGCGCCCCCUGAUGCGGGGUGGGCAAGUAUUGAUUGGUACGGCGCGUUGGUCGGCGUCGUAGUCAGAGUGCAAAAGGGUGGCGGAAUCGGCAGGCGCCAUCACGCGGGGCCGCCGCGACCGUCGUCUGAAGGGCCGUCGUCCAGCCAGUGGCCGCGAUCUCGAUUCACCGAAAAGAUGGUCAUGAUGGCUGGCAUGGACGACCACGAGCGAAAAGUCGUCCUCGAGUUCUGCCACCUGCUCGAGAAGAGCAAGCAGCUGUUCAACGGGUUACGGGAUCUGCCACAGUACGGGCACAAGCAGUGGCAGGGCUACUUCGGGCGCACCUUUGACAUCUACACCAAGCUCUGGAAGUUCCAGCAACAGCACAGGACGAUACUGGACACGAAGUACGGCCUGAAGAGGUGGCAGAUCGGCGAGAUCGCCAGCAAGAUCGGCCAGCUCUACUAUCACUACUACCUGCGCACCAGCGAGACCAGCUACCUGCACGAGGCCUAUUCGUUCUACGCGGCGAUAAGGGGUCGCGCGUAUUACAGCCGCGCCGCCAAGGAGGACAGGAGCGACCUGAUGGUGAAGAAGCUCAGGUAUUACGCGCGGUUCAUCGUCGUCUGCCUCCUGCUGAACCGCAUGAAGCUGGUGCGCGAGCUGGUCCAGGAGCUAGACGCUCAGAUCGCGGACUACACCAGCACCUACGAGCCCGACGAUCAGCUCGAGUGGAACCUGGUGCUGGACGAGAUCAAGGCGUUCGUGAAGGCCGAGUCGGCGGUCGGGGUGGUGCACUCGGACUCGAAUCCUGUCAUACUCACCCACAGACUCGGCGCCCAGACAUCGCCGCCGAUCGAACGUACGCCACCCAUGUGCCUAUCGCUGCAGGAGAUCCUCAUCGUCGGCAACUGCACUGAUCAGGUGAAGUUCAGCGAGUUGUCGAUGGACAUGUUCAGGAUGCUGCAGACCCUGGAGAGGGAGCCCAGGGACGACCCUAACCACCUUCACGACGCCUCGCCGGCAGGGAGGAUGCCCUUCAGGCCGGGCCCGUAUCCGGGCGCCGAGAACGGGGCGCCCAGACGCGACAAUCCACACAAGUACCUGCUGUACAAGCCCACCUACAGCCAGGUACAGGUAUUCCUCGCCAGCGGCUUCAAGGAGCUGCCGGCGAACGGGGCCCUGUUGCUCUACCUGUCGGCGGACGGUUGCUUCUCCACCGUCAAGCAUCCGGAAGAAAUGGGGUACGACCUGGGCGGCGUGUCUACGUGCAGCAAGAGGGACCCCGAGCACGGGAAGAGGCCGACAGGUGGCAAGGAGCCCCACUGCCUGUACCCCGGGGACCUCUACCCGUUCACCAGGAAGCCGUUGUUCGUGGUGGUGGACUCGGACAACAGCUUCGUGUUCCAACAGAUACCGCGGUACUUCGGGCAGCCUCUGAUGGUUCUGAUGUCGCCCCAGGACACGCCGCCGACGUUGCGCGACGUCAGACACGGUGGCAGCCUGUUCACCCUGUUUCUCCACGCCCCCCUCGCCGCCUUUUGCCUUAUAUGCAACAUCGGUAGCCUGGCCGUGCACCACUGGGAGCGGUGCCAGCGUUACAUCGAGCGAUUCCUCAUCGAGGCCUGUCAGCUCGUCACGCGCUCCAGAUGCGAGACCAGCGUGUUGCAAUUCUUCGGCGACGAUUUCCUACGACUGUUGCUGGUGCGCUACGUGUUCUGCGACGUGGUGUUGAAUCUCCACCGGUCGUUCAGGGGUCGACAGCAGAGGCCCCGUUGCCAUCCGCCGUUGCCGGACGCCGAGGUGCUCGAGCAUCCCACGUUGCAUCACCUGGUGCUCGACCUGGCGGCGUGUCUCGACUGCCGCGACCACUUCCCGGACAGCAACGAGCUGGCCUGACCCAGGCAUCUUCCCUGCCCCGCCAACGAGUCGACGUCACUGUUGCCGCCGUACAGCCACGACUACGAUUACGAUUACUGUAACUAUAAUUGCAAAAAUAAAAUCGUUACACUGAGACCUCAUUAAACCGCGUCUAUCGAGAAGCGAUCGCGACAGCGAGAGACGGGGGGUGCACGAGGUGUGACGAUUUUACCAUUUCACGUCGUUGUCCUUACAUUCGCCGGGAAUUCUAUUUACACGAAUUCUUCUUGGAGCCUUUUUCUUUUGCUUUUGUUUAGAGGCCGAAGCUUCGAGGGAAGUUGAACGGUGAGGAUUUAUGUGGAUAGAAGGGGUAGAAACUGAGAAGAAGAAGGGAAGGACGUUCGAGAAGUGAUAGAGGGAGGAAGAAAUUCUUCAGGACCUUCGUUUAAAACACUCGACCGCUCGGUACACGUUUUACGAAAGACGAUGGAGAAUCAGUUCGUACCUCGACCGUCGCUUUUAUUUACCUACGGUCGGUGUAACGAGCAUUCGUACAGGAACCGUUUCGAAAUGAAACUUCAUGUGUUUAUUUUAUUAAUCGAUUUCAGGGUUAGAAAUAAUUAACCGACGUUCCUGUAUUUUUUUCUUUUUGUUUUUUUUGUUUUAGAGUAGAAUUUGCGUAAAGGUUAUUAUCUUCGAUGUCAACCCUUUGCACUCGAGAGGAUGACUC